AAGGCUUUAAGUUAAUUAAACUAAUAGCCUUCAAAGCUAUAAAUAUAAGAUAAUUCUUUUAAGCCUUA
rnacentral:tRNA from 1 species